AGGGCAUAUCACACCGGUUCUCGUAUGAUCCCCGAAGUUAAGCAACAUCAUGUCUGGUUAGUACUUAGAUGGGUGACCACUUCAGAAUACCAGGUACUGGAA